UGGUGGGUAGUUUGACUGGGGCGGUCUCCUCCUAAAGAGUAACGGAGGAGCACGAAGGUUGGCUAAUCCUGGUCGGACAUCAGGAGGUUAGUGCAAUGGCAUAAGCCAGCUUGACUGCGAGCGUGACGGCGCGAGCAGGUGCGAAAGCAGGUCAUAGUGAUCCGGUGGUUCUGAAUGGAAGGGCCAUCGCUCAACGGAUAAAAGGUACUCCGGGGAUAACAGGCUGAUACCGCCCAAGAGUUCAUAUCGACGGCGGUGUUUGGCACCUCGAUGUCGGCUCAUCACAUCCUGGGGCUGAAGUAGGUCCCAAGGGUAUGGCUGUUCGCCAUUUAAAGUGGUACGCGAGCUGGGUUUAGAACGUCGUGAGACAGUUCGGUCCCUAUCUGCCGUGGGCGCUGGAGAACUGAGGGGGGCUGCUCCUAGUACGAGAGGACCGGAGUGGACGCAUCACUGGUGUUCGGGUUGUCAUGCCAAUGGCACUGCCCGGUAGCUAAAUGCGGAAGAGAUAAGUGCUGAAAGCAUCUAAGCACGAAACUUGCCCCGAGAUGAGUUCUCCCUGAGACUUUAGGUCUCCUGAAGGAACGUUGAAGACGACGACGUUGAUAGGCCGGGUGUGUAAGCGCAGCGAUGCGUUGAGCUAACC
rnacentral:rRNA from 2 species